CGAUUUCCGAAUGGGGAAACCCAGUGUGUUUCGACACACUAUCAUUAACUGAAUCCAUAGGUUAAUGAGGCGAACCGGGGGAACUGAAACAUCUAAGUACCCCGAGGAAAAGAAAUCAACCGAGAUUCCCCCAGUAGCGGCGAGCGAACGGGGAGCAGCCCAGAGCCUGAAUCAGUGUGUGUGUUAGUGGAAGCGUCUGGAAAGACGCGCGAUACAGGGUGACAGCCCCGUACACAAAAAUGCACAUGCUGUGAGCUCGAUGAGUAGGGCGGGACACGUGGUAUCCUGUCUGAAUAUGGGGGGACCAUCCUCCAAGGCUAAAUACUCCUGACUGACCGAUAGUGAACCAGUACCGUGAGGGAAAGGCGAAAAGAACCCCGGCGAGGGGAGUGAAAAAGAACCUGAAACCGUGUACGUACAAGCAGUGGGAGCACGCUUAGGCGUGUGACUGCGUACCUUUUGUAUAAUGGGUCAGCGACUUAUAUUCUGUAGCAAGGUUAACCGAAUAGGGGAGCCGAAGGGAAACCGAGUCUUAACUGGGCGUUAAGUUGCAGGGUAUAGACCCGAAACCCGGUGAUCUAGCCAUGGGCAGGUUGAAGGUUGGGUAACACUAACUGGAGGACCGAACCGACUAAUGUUGAAAAAUUAGCGGAUGACUUGUGGCUGGGGGUGAAAGGCCAAUCAAACCGGGAGAUAGCUGGUUCUCCCCGAAAGCUAUUUAGGUAGCGCCUCGUGAAUUCAUCUCCGGGGGUAGAGCACUGUUUCGGCAAGGGGGUCAUCCCGACUUACCAACCCGAUGCAAACUGCGAAUACCGGAGAAUGUUAUCACGGGAGACACACGGCGGGUGCUAACGUCCGUCGUGAAGAGGGAAACAACCCAGACCGCCAGCUAAGGUCCCAAAGUCAUGGUUAAGUGGGAAACGAUGUGGGAAGGCCCAGACAGCCAGGAUGUUGGCUUAGAAGCAGCCAUCAUUUAAAGAAAGCGUAAUAGCUCACUGGUCGAGUCGGCCUGCGCGGAAGAUGUAACGGGGCUAAACCAUGCACCGAAGCUGCGGCAGCGACGCUGAUGCGUUGUUGGGUAGGGGAGCGUUCUGUAAGCCUGUGAAGGUGUGCUGUGAGGCAUGCUGGAGGUAUCAGAAGUGCGAAUGCUGACAUAAGUAACGAUAAAGCGGGUGAAAAGCCCGCUCGCCGGAAGACCAAGGGUUCCUGUCCAACGUUAAUCGGGGCAGGGUGAGUCGACCCCUAAGGCGAGGCCGAAAGGCGUAGUCGAUGGGAAACAGGUUAAUAUUCCUGUACUUGGUGUUACUGCGAAGGGGGGACGGAGAAGGCUAUGUUGGCCGGGCGACGGUUGUCCCGGUUUAAGCGUGUAGGCUGGUUUUCCAGGCAAAUCCGGAAAAUCAAGGCUGAGGCGUGAUGACGAGGCACUACGGUGCUGAAGCAACAAAUGCCCUGCUUCCAGGAAAAGCCUCUAAGCAUCAGGUAACAUCAAAUCGUACCCCAAACCGACACAGGUGGUCAGGUAGAGAAUACCAAGGCGCUUGAGAGAACUCGGGUGAAGGAACUAGGCAAAAUGGUGCCGUAACUUCGGGAGAAGGCACGCUGAUAUGUAGGUGAAGUCCCUCGCGGAUGGAGCUGAAAUCAGUCGAAGAUACCAGCUGGCUGCAACUGUUUAUUAAAAACACAGCACUGUGCAAACACGAAAGUGGACGUAUACGGUGUGACGCCUGCCCGGUGCCGGAAGGUUAAUUGAUGGGGUUAGCCGCAAGGCGAAGCUCUUGAUCGAAGCCCCGGUAAACGGCGGCCGUAACUAUAACGGUCCUAAGGUAGCGAAAUUCCUUGUCGGGUAAGUUCCGACCUGCACGAAUGGCGUAAUGAUGGCCAGGCUGUCUCCACCCGAGACUCAGUGAAAUUGAACUCGCUGUGAAGAUGCAGUGUACCCGCGGCAAGACGGAAAGACCCCGUGAACCUUUACUAUAGCUUGACACUGAACAUUGAGCCUUGAUGUGUAGGAUAGGUGGGAGGCUUUGAAGUGUGGACGCCAGUCUGCAUGGAGCCGACCUUGAAAUACCACCCUUUAAUGUUUGAUGUUCUAACGUUGACCCGUAAUCCGGGUUGCGGACAGUGUCUGGUGGGUAGUUUGACUGGGGCGGUCUCCUCCUAAAGAGUAACGGAGGAGCACGAAGGUUGGCUAAUCCUGGUCGGACAUCAGGAGGUUAGUGCAAUGGCAUAAGCCAGCUUGACUGCGAGCGUGACGGCGCGAGCAGGUGCGAAAGCAGGUCAUAGUGAUCCGGUGGUUCUGAAUGGAAGGGCCAUCGCUCAACGGAUAAAAGGUACUCCGGGGAUAACAGGCUGAUACCGCCCAAGAGUUCAUAUCGACGGCGGUGUUUGGCACCUCGAUGUCGGCUCAUCACAUCCUGGGGCUGAAGUAGGUCCCAAGGGUAUGGCUGUUCGCCAUUUAAAGUGGUACGCGAGCUGGGUUUAGAACGUCGUGAGACAGUUCGGUCCCUAUCUGCCGUGGGCGCUGGAGAACUGAGGGGGGCUGCUCCUAGUACGAGAGGACCGGAGUGGACGCAUCACUGGUGUUCGGGUUGUCAUGCCAAUGGCACUGCCCGGUAGCUAAAUGCGGAAGAGAUAAGUGCUGAAAGCAUCUAAGCACGAAACUUGCCCCGAGAUGAGUUCUCCCUGACUCCUUGAGAGUCCUGAAGGAACGUUGAAGACGACGACGUUGAUAGGCCGGGUGUGUAAGCGCAGCGAUGCGUUGAGCUAACCGGUACUAAUGAACCGUGAGGCUUAACCUU
rnacentral:rRNA from 1 species